CUACGGAGGGUGCAAGCGUUAAUCGGAAUUACUGGGCGUAAAGCGUACGUAGGCGGUUCGUUAAGUUAGAUGUGAAAGCCCCGGGCUUAACCUGGGAACUGCAUUUAAAACUGGCGAACUAGAGUUGAGUAGAGGGGAGUGGAAUUUCAGGUGUAGCGGUGAAAUGCGUAGAGAUCUGAAGGAACACCAGUGGCGAAGGCGACUCCCUGGACUCAAACUGACGCUGAGGUACGAAAGCGUGGGUAGCAAACGGGAUUAGAUACCCUAGUAGUCC
rnacentral:rRNA from 1 species